rnacentral:lncRNA from 1 species
GAGAAUCCACACUUGGGGCGUCUCCUUCCGGAAGUGGGGAGAAAGCAUCUCCGUGUGCGAAUUUGAUUGCGAAACGAAACGAAAGUUUCUAAGCCUUUCAUCGUUUUCCUUCUUUCUGAAGGGCCAUUGUCGUUCUCUGAAGAAAAUGGCGGAAGGAUAUCUCAAAGUUACGCUCAACAGUGAGGGCGAGGAGGAAGAGAUGGAAUCCGAGAGGCGGUGGAUCAACUCGUCGUCAGCAAGAAGAGGAUUUCCCAUUUGUGUCUAGCCUGGAAAGUUUCCACGGUGAAGAAGAACAAGAACAAGAACAUGAACAAAGAAAAUAGAGGAGUUCUCACCUUUUUCUUAUCUCUCGCUCGAACCAAUCUGGGGGACUCUUCUCGGCUUCAUUGGCUUCUGGCUGCUGCGAUUCGCCGGACGGCGCUGGCGCUGGCGAUUCCCUCAGGAACUUUGGGAGGCUGCUGCUCCUUCUUAGUGUCCUCGUCCUUCUAUAAUCUAUAAUGGCCAAAAACACGACAGUCAUGAUCGAUGAAGCGAUGAUCCAGGAAGAAAGAUUAGAGCGCUCGGUAGAGUCACGUCAUUGCCAGAAAUGCACACUAUAGAUAUGCUCGGAAAGGCAGCUACAGAUCUCUAGCUUGGGUUGACCGAUGAGCUAGACGAACGCACGACCGAUAUGCAUCGAUCG